rnacentral:rRNA from 1 species
AGUGAACGCUGGCGGUAGGCCUAACACAUGCAAGUCGAACGGCAGCACAGUAAGAGCUUGCUCUUACGGGUGGCGAGUGGCGGACGGGUGAGGAAUACAUCGGAAUCUACUUUUUCGUGGGGGAUAACGUAGGGAAACUUACGCUAAUACCGCAUACGACCUACGGGUGAAAGCAGGGGAUCUUCGCACCUUGCGCGAUUGAAUGAGCCGAUGUCGGAUUAGCUAGUUGGCGGGGUAAAGGCCCACCAAGGCGACGAUCCGUAGCUGGUCUGAGAGGAUGAUCAGCCACACUGGAACUGAGACACGGUCCAGACUACUACGGGAGGCAGCAGUGGGGAAUAUUGGACAAUGGGCGCAAGCCUGAUCCAGCCAUACCGCGUGGGUGAAGAAGGCCUUCGGGUUGUAAAGCCCUUUUGUUGGGAAAGAAAAGCAGCAGGUUAAUACCCCGCUGUUCUGACGGUACCCAAAGAAUAAGCACCGGCUAACUUCGUG